UACGUAGGGUGCAAGCGUUAAUCGGAAUUACUGGGCGUAAAGCGUGCGCAGGCGGUUCGGAAAGAAAGAUGUGAAAUCCCAGGGCUCAACCUUGGAACUGCAUUUUUAACUACCGGACUAGAGUGUGUCAGAGGGAGGUGGAAUUCCACGUGUAGCAGUGAAAUGCGUAGAUAUGUGGAGGAACACCGAUGGCGAAGGCAGCCUCCUGGGAUAACACUGACGCUCAUGCACGAAAGCGUGGGGAGCAAACAGGAUUAGAUACCCUGGUAGUCCACGCCCUAAACGAUGUCAACUAGCUGUUGGGGUUUUCGGACCUUAGUAGCGCAGCUAACGCGUGAAGUUGACCGCCUGGGGAGUACGGUCGCAAGAUUA
rnacentral:rRNA from 2 species